rnacentral:lncRNA from 1 species
AUUACACUACCAAAUCAUGGAUGCUGAACACAUGCAUAUUUGGAGGUUUUCGAUACGCUGACGAACGAGAAAGAGCAAGGAAGAGGAGGAGGUGGUGGAGGCAACGGCGGCAGGAAAAGCAAGCAAGAGAAGCCAUUACGCUUGCAGAACUCGGUGAUCUGAGCUUGGAACGAGUGAAGGGAGUAGCUCUAAAUAGCUGUGCCUCUGCGCGUUCAAGUUUCAACGGGUGGUACAUCGCUUUCUCCCACUUGUCUUCCUCCUGUGGCCACUCGAGUCCUCUGUGGCGAUUACGUCAUGCGUCAUUGCGCAACAAAUAACGGGUUGGGUCAAGGAAGAGACCCUCGUGAUUCUUUAUGAGAUCCAAUCCACUCACGAGCAGAAAAGGAGGUGUGAUCACAUGCUGGAAGGCACUAAGAAUUAAGCCCGUAUAAUUGACUCCUGACUUGUUGUCAGACACUCUCGAGUCCCGUGGGAAGACCAUCCAAGAAGAGGCCUCAGCUUUGAAUUGGAAUCUUCUUUCUAACUUAGGCCGUGAAGCAAUGGCGACCAACCUUUGAGUUAUUCCAUAGACUAACAACUUUGUGGCUAUUUGUUUAGUAUUGGAUUAAUGGACUGAACUCAAUCGUUCCUCGCCCAAAAGAACCAUUGGCUAAUGUUACUUGAUAUGAAGGAUCCAAAGCAACCACCAAGAAAAGAAUGUCGAAAGAAGAACCACAAAGCAUUUGAGAACAAUCAUGAUCUCAAGGUGGCCUAUCACUUUCUUCUUCCUUCUUUCCUGCUAUUUCUUCUGAUAUAAUCAUGUGGAAAGACAUAAUAUAAUCCAUCUCUAAGCAGUGUGGCUCCCUGUGGAAAGACAUAAUCUAAUCCAUCUCUAAGCAGUGUGGCUCCCUGCGACAGGCUCUCUUACGUUCAUGCGUUUCUGGCUGACAUAAGUCUACGGAGACAUGAUGUUGCAGAGGUUGCAUAAUCCACCGCACCUCUCCAACAUUUCACAUGGCAAGCCCCGUUCCGUUUGUCAUGUCCUUGCUAAGCUUUUGGAAUGUUGCAGAAAACGAGCCAUGGGGUUCGUGCAAUGCUUCUCAAAUUGGAACAGUGGUGAGAAAUCUGCGGUGGCUCAGUCACUGUCGGUCGAUAGACCAUGAAAUGUUUGAAGGACUCGUAAUUCUUCCUGCAUGUGUUUAAUUUCUCCUCGGGAUAAGCCAAGCACUUGAAAAACCAUCUCCAAUGCAUAAGCUAGAUUAAGCAUCUCAUGUGGAGAUCAGGAUACCUGCAGUUUAAGGAGUGCUAAUAUCACAGACUAUACAAAUCACCCAGCUUGUGUACUAGACAUUGUCUUUCUUCUCCGAUGAGUGGUCAGACUUCCACUUCAAGUGUUGGAAGAUGUAGCCAGGGCACUUGCAAAUAACAAGUCGGGUGGUUCUUGAUGUGGAUGGUUGGAGAUGGCAUUCUCGAGGGUUGUCGAAGGAUGCAAUUUGCAUUUCGACAUGGAACAGUGAAGAUAAUGUGCUUCCUCUGGUUCAGUGGUGCCAGUGCCUCAGCUACUAGCUUUGUUGCUUGCUCAUGCCAAGAUAAGUGGGAGGAGUAGAAAAUUAGAACCAUUCAACAAAGGAGAUGAUUCUUGCAACACCACAUUUGAAGCAUGGUCAUCAUGCAUCAACCUGUGUAGUAGGUGGUGUUCUAACAUUUGCACCCCAAAAAGAAGGGUUUGACCAAUGUGCAUUGGCUGUUGCUUCAACCUCUGUUCAGAAGCAGAAAGUGUUGUGCUAGCCAUCAUUAUUAAAGAUUAUGGAUGGUAGCAUCAACCCUUUUUUGUCAGUUACAGAGAUGACUGAAUCACUAAUGCUCAGAGACUCCAGCAUGGCUGGCCAUAUGUCCAGCAAGAAAACUAUGGAGAUCAACCCAGAGAAUCCUAUCAUGGAGGAGUUGAGGAAGCGAGCAGAUGCUGACAAGAAUGACAAAUCAGUUAAGGACCUGACACUUCUGCUGUUUGAGACUGCUCUCCUCACCUCUGGUUUCUGCUUGAAUGACCCCAAUACUAUUGGCAACAGGAUCCACCGAAUGCUGAAAUUAGGUCUCAGCAUCGAUGAGGAUGAAAAGGUUGAAGACACUGACAUGCCUACGCUUGAGGAUGCUGCUGAUGCCGAAGAGAGUAAGAUGGAGGAAAUGGACUAAUCUGGAUCAAGUUGGCUUUCUGUAUUCUGCUGCUUCUCUUGCAAUUUUUUGGUGUGCUUUUCAUAUAUGCACUAACUAUGUAGACGGCCUUCAUCACCUUUUGCCAAAGAGAUCUUUAUAACUGUUGUCUAUGCAUGCAUGGAUAAUUCAUGUUCUAUGUUAACAAGUCUAUGGUUUGAAUGUCGAUUUAGCAUGGUUGACAUUUCAUUUUUAUAGUCCUGUCUUGUGGCAAGAAGCUGCAUGAAAACAGAAUCAUGUCUAAGUUUGUCUUGAUAGUAAAUGCCAUGUUCCAGAGUAAGAUUUUGCUUUCAUUAAUUCGAGUUCGAUCGAUCAUGGAGCAUUUGGUUAUCGGAGUUCUAGAUGUUUUGCUUUGAUCAUUAGCUACGCAAUGGAAGUCAUGUGUGAAUUGUGAUGAUAUAAAUAAGAAGCUGCUGAAGAAUGACUGCCAAAUUCAACUUUACGGACAAAAGAGACAGACAUACUGAUAAUAGAUUCGGAGGAACAGAAUCUAUACUAUGUGAACAUACUGACUCCGGGUGUCUUCAUUUUGUCACCCAUUGUUCUUAUUGAUGCAGAAAACAAAGAGCAGGUGGUUGCGUGGUGAAUCAAUCAGCUGCAAGCCUGCGGCACAAAUCCAAUCCUCUCGUUUCCUAGAUCAUAGACCACUUCAAACGUUUGCUGCUGCACGUUGCCGAUGAUACCGAACCUACCGCCCUUAUAUCCAGUAAAAGCCAAGCAGCCAUGCAUGAGGAUCCCAGAUAUGUCGAGAUCCAUUGUGACUCCAUCGAAGAGCAGCGCUACUUUCGGGACUGUUAUGGUCUCGUAGCCGCUGAAGUCAUAACAGGUAUCGAGUACUCGCGUAGGAGGCGCAGCGGGGUACUGGGACAUGUAGCACCGGAACGCAGACCUCAGUGCUCCGUAGGCCGACGCCGGGAGGCGAGUGAUGGUAGUGCCGGAGUCGAUGAUCGUGCCACGGGACGAGAAAACCGAUGGCGAAAUGUCCAGUUGCUGCCCACCGACACUGAUUCCGAUCAGGUCAAGGAAGUAAAAGCUUGGAUGAUUGGAGCUGGUCUGCAUUCGAGUGUAAACGGUGUUGGAGGCGUCACCAGGUUCGCCCAGUUUCAGGAACCCGGUGGAGCUGGGAGUCGAAGGAAGGCAGUAGGAGAAGACCGACUGGUAAACUUGCGACGUUUGAGACACCAGAGAGCGCUUGCCGCGGCCGAGGCCCACGAGCCCUGCGGCGUUGAGGAACAGCCUUUCGUUGUCUGUGCCGCACCCGAAGAGGAAGGGCUCGAUCACGUCGUUUGGCGACAGCGUCAGUCUGUCGUAGCUGUAGACUCCUGAACGUUUCGGCCCACUGCCGUAGUGGAUGACAUAAGUGCAAGAGCUGGAGCAGCUGCUUCGGAGCUGACUGCAGUCCGACGAGUUGCAAGGGAUCGCGGCGUAGGAGGAUGAUUGGGAUGGGUCAAAGAUCGGCUCCUUCUGCGAGUAGCAUACGUUGCGUGGUUUGCAUUUGAUCCAACUCAGGUCGCUUCCGGUGUCCAUUAUCACAGUCUGCUCUUGGCUGGGGGUGCCAUAGCCGACUGUAAUCACGUACCCCCCUCCUCCGUACUCCGCGGGGAUGCUUGCCUUGGAAUCAUCGACCUGUGGCUUGGCGGAAGGCUUCAAGGCACUUCGCCGGAGAUAGUUGACUCGAAGUUGGUCUUUCAGAAGAAUCUCUUCCAGCGAUAGCAGUUUCUUGUCGUCGAAGGGGGAGCAGGGUCCAUGCCGAUGCACCAACGGGAGGGCGGUAGCGUUAGAUCCUGAGAACGACGAAACUAUCUUUUAAGGAAACUGUAUCAAAUGGUUUCAGCAAUUCAUGGGUAGAAUUUCCAAUUUUCUACGGAGUAUGAGAUCUGCAACCCAAAGAAAAGUUUGAUGCAAGAGAGCAGCUGGGGUAUGACUGACCCUUGGAUGAGGAGCAGACAACUUCGGGACUCGAAUUAUGAUUUCGAACCACGUGGUAGCUCUGAGCGUCUUCUCCGCUAGCAAGGGAAGAACAGUGACUCAGGAACAGAACAGAAGAGCCGAUUAAGAGAGCAGCCGAAGCCAUUUGCUGGGAAGAUACAAGCCCUGGCCGCAGGAUAGCUAUGGCAAUGCAUCCAAUUUAUAGAGACUUCGAAACCACUUUCUUUGUGCUACCACAUUGGCCUCUGAUUUGAGUCAAGUAUGUGGACUAGUCGUUGACUUCGAAUUGACUGGCAUCGUCAAGUUCUUCCACACAAUCACGGACCAAUUUAUGCUUAGUUUCGCAAUCCCACUGCAAAAUCCACGAAAUAAUUUGGUUUACGACACAACGAUGAGUUCGAAAGGAAGAGUUUUGACAGUUCAAAGUCGAAUGAUUAGAGCCACAACUCGAGUGCAACAUAAAUCCUGACUGGCUCAUAAAUCGUCAACUAAUAACAACCACAACUAAAUGCUUCCUUAUGGGUGUUCUACGAGUCACCCAGGCGAGUGGAUCGGGAGCUAAUCGAGAGGGAAUUACACAGUAUACUUCCAUGUCCGCACGAACCAAAGUGCGCAAGAACAUGGACUCGUACUUCUGAAACCUGCAAUGAUAGAUCGAUAGCUCCGAUACUGUAUGUGAUGAACGGAUUGCACUAUGAGAAUAACUUCAGCUGGUCUGGUGUUGAAUCAAUGGUUGGCAGCAGCAGAGGCUAAUCAAAAGAAGAAGACGAAGAGGAGGUACAGGCAGGGGAGGUGGCCAUGAAAGAGACACACUCCCAAAUGAUUGCGAAGGACAAGCUACUCCAAGUGACAUUAAACUACUCGGCAACAAUGGCGUUUUCCAAUUAAUCAUGGACCAAUUUAGCUUUAUUUGGAGAGUAAAAUAGGAUGGAAAGUUAUCAGACUUUGUAGAUCUUUAUGCAGACUAGAAGAGUUUAUUAUUAGUAACAUAUAUUUUCUACGCAUGUUAAGAUCUAUAAAGUUGCAGAUGGUGUGAUUUAUAAUGAAAACAAUAUCACAACAGUUAUCCCUUUUAUUAAAAUUAUCACAAGUACAAGUUUGAAUUAUGAAUUAGACAUGAAUUUGCUAUUAGAUUUAAGCUUCCCAUACAUUUUAUGUUAUUAUUUGUUUUUUUGAUCAAAUAUACUUUUCUUAUGAUUAAGAAUAAUCUACAGUAAAUUAAAUUAUAUGUGCCUUCAACAGCUAGUUAUAGAAUUAUAGCAUUUCACUCACAUCCUCUAGCUUUUCUCUAUCGUCUUCCUCCUUUCGAUGUGGUGACUAAAUAGACCAUCCUUCAGAAGGACCCUCGUGAUUCUUUAUUAUAUACGAAGAAAAAUGUUGUUAGAUUAAUUAAUCUGAGCUCUAGCUUAUACUUCCAAAACAUAAUGCCAAACACAUAAUUAACCAAGAAAAGAGGCACACGUACAGAAGAACCAGAAUGGUGUAUCACAGAUAACAGUUUACUGAAAUAGAAGCAGGGAGGUGGAUGCUGAAAUAGAACGGUAGACAAUUCUGGUGAAGGUAAUAGAGGCUGACUGCCAGCUGCAGGUGCAUGCUAUAUAUCCUUAUGCCUCAUGCUAUUUAUUUAUUUAUUUAUAUUUAUAUAUAUGCAUGAGGUGAUACUGAUCAGCUGCAAGCGUUCGGCGCGAAUCCAAUUCUCUCAUUUCCUACAUCGUAGACUACUUCAUAUGUUCGCUGCUGCACAUUGCCAAUGAUCCCCAAGCCACCAACUUGAUUAGCAGAAAAUGCCAAGCAGUCAUGGAAGAGGAUCCCAGACGAGUCGACGUCCAGGGUGAUUCCAUCACCAAAUUGCAGUGCUAUGCUGGGAACUGUUAUGGUCUCGUAGCCGCUCAAGUCAUAGCAGGUAUCAAGCAGUCCAUUAGUAGGCUUAAGAGGGUACGCCGACAUGUGCUCCCGGAACGCCGACCUCAGGGCCUCGUAGGCCGACGGCGGGAGGCGAGUGAUCGUAGUGCCGGAGUCCAAGAACGUGCCACCGGACCUAAAAACCGAUGGCGAAAUGGCCAGCUGCUCCCCGGCCACGCUGAUUCCGAUCAGGUCAACGAAGUAGUAGCUUGGAUCAUUGGAGCUGGUCAGCAUUCCAGUGUAAACGGUGUUGGAGGCGUCACCAGUUUCGCCCAGUUUUAGGAACCCCGUGUUGCUGGAAGUCGAAGGAAGGCAGUAGGAGAAGACCGAGUGGUAAAGUUGCGACGUCUGAGACACAAGAGACUGCUUGUCACGGCCGAGACCCACGAGCCCUGCGGCGUCGUGGAACAGCACUUCGUUGUCGGUGCCGCACCCAAAGAUGAAGUCCUCGAUCACGUCGUUUGGCGACAGCGUUAGUCUGUCGUAGCUGUAGACUCCUGAACUGUUCGACCCAUCGCCGUAGGGGAUGAAAUAAGCGCAAGAGCUGGAGCAGCUGCUUGGGAGCUGACUGCAGUCCGACGAGUUGCAAGGGAUCGCGGCGUAGGAGGAUGAUUGGGAUGGGUCAAAGAUCGGCUCCUUCUGCGAGUAGCAUACGUUGCAUGGUUGGCAUUGGAUCCAACUCAGGUCGCUUCCGGUGUCCAUUAUCACAGUCUGCUCUCGGCUGGGGGUGCCAUAGCCGACGGUGAUCACGUACUCCCCUCCUUGGAGCUCCGCGGGGAUGCUUGCCAUGGAAUCAUUGAGCUGUGACUUCACGACACCCUUUAGGAGAUAAUUUACUCGAAGUUGGUCUUUAAGAAGGAUUUGUUCAAGUGAUGGCAGUUCCUUUGUCUCGAAGGGGGAGCAGGGUCCAUACCGACUGACCAACCGUAGAGAGGGAACGUUGGAUCUGAGAACCAUGCAUGCAUGCAUGGAAGUAUAUAUCACCACCAAUAGUCAGUAUUAUUUUUUUGUCUUUUAAGUAAAUUUACGUCAAACAAGUGCAGCAAUUUAUGAGUACAACUUCCAUCUGCUUGCUCAGUAACAUCGUGCGUCCAAUUUACAGCUUAAAGAGAUAGAGAAGGAAGACUUAGUUAAAACUACAGAUGAUACUUUAUAACAGGUACGAGAUCUGCAGCGCAAAUAAAACACCAAAAGUAGGAGGCAGCUGAUGUAUGAUUAACCUUUGAGCGGGGAGCAGACUGCUCCGGGAUUCAAAGAACGUCUUUGAACCUUAUGGUAGCUCUGUACUUCUCCAUUGGCAAGGUGAGAACUGUAGCUUAGGAGCAGAAACAGAACACAAGAGCUGGUUAGGAGGGCAGCUGAAGCCAUUAGUUAGCUGGGGAGAUACAAGUCUUGUGCGUAGGAGCUCUGGCAAUGCAUCCAAUUUAUAGAGAACCUUCAGUACUACCUUCUCUCCUUUGAAUCUUCAAAGCGAUGCUAAUGGUUUGGCCUCUGAUUACCACAUGCGAAAUUGAUUUAGAAGGCUGUGGACUAGUCGUUGACGUAGGACCCACUGGCUUAUUCAAGGUCAGAUUGUCCGAUCUUCGCGGAGUCACAUAAAUCUUAUCGCGUAUCCCCGUCGAGGUGUGGAAGAUCCGUGUACAUUAUCAGAUCUCCAAUCGGCUACCAGUCCGAAGCGAGAUGUCCAUAGGAUCCUCUUCCACUGUGGCUCUUGCGGAACCAGAUUGCAAAGAACAUGUCAUAUCUCAGAGUUACUUUUGUACUUCAACCACUAUGAGAAUAACUUUGGCCGAUUCACUGAUAUGAUUGUUAAGUUCUAGGCGUUGAAGCUGUGGUGGGCUUAAGGAAUCAACACAGGCAAUUUGAUAUUACUGCACUUCUCUUGUUGGCAGUAUCGGACGGUAAGGAAAAGAAGAAGAUGAGGAGGAGGAGGAAGCCGGGUAAGACACGGACGGCGAGGUGGCCAUGAACGAGACAUUCAAGAACUUAUUUAUUGCACAAGACAAGGUACGUCUAUGUCAUUAUCAACUAAGGAACGAUGAAAUGAGUUCUCGGAUCAAUUAUGGACCAUAUUAUUGGGCAAUAUCUUCUUUUGCUUCAUUUAUUAUCUGUGCAAUAUUGAUAGCAAAUGGACGAAAGCCGCCUGUAUUUAUAUUUCUGUAUUUUUUCGCGUUAGAUAAGGUUAGGUACAGAAGCUCUGUAGACUUAAGGGAAGGAAAAAACUACUCACAACAAUUUGGUAAUGUAAUGUUUUUGAUAAAUAUAUAAAUGAAUUAGAUAAAUAUAUAAAUAUAUAUAUGUUAAAUAUAUAAUUCAAACCAGCAUCAGACUGUACAAAAAAAGGAGUAAUUUUUCAAAAAAAAAUCUUUUUUUUAAAAAGAAAGGAAUCCAUGUUUUACUUUUUCCCAAAAUGAUGCUCCCUAAAUGGAAUAAUACUCAAAAUACUCAUCAUCAACGCUAAUGGUAUUUUUUUAUCAGUUUUGAACCAUUAUAGUGUUUUUAUUUGGCUCAUUUAUAAUAUUUUUCAAUAACAUUACGGUAUUGUGAUGGUCGCAAUAAUUUUUAUCCAUAUUUAGAUGAUGUUAUUCUUAAAUUAUUAUAGUACCUAUUUGAAUUCUAAUAUGAUAUAUUAAAUAAUUUUUAGUAUAUUUUGAUUUUAUUUGACUUGCUUAUAGUAUUUUUUUUAAUAACAUUAUAGGUUUUAUUAUGAUAUUAAAGAUAUUAUAAAGCUAUUGAAAAAUAUUGUAAGUAACUUCGUAUUAUGUCUCUUUGCUUAUCAUUGCUCAUAGACUAUUACACUAGGAAAUUUUUAGGUUUAAGGUUGGUUUAGCUAAUGUUAUGAUUUCAUUUGUAUUAUAUACUAUUUAUACUAUUUCUAAGUCGAUUUUAUAGUAUUUUUUUAUGGUGACAAAAUAUUAUAGUAAGUCAAAACACUAUAUAUAAUGGAUGAGAAAAAUAUUUUUAUGGUUGAUGAGAGAUAUUUUGGAUAUUAUUUAUAAUGAGAGACCAAUCAAAAAAAUAAUAUUUUUUGAAAAAAAAUAAAAAAGACUUUCUCAAGAAAAUCAUUAAAAAAAAUCUUCUAGAAGGAAUUUGACACGACCAAUCGAUGCUUUGACCGUUGCUUUGUUAACCUUUCACAGUUACUUUUAUUCUGUCGUUCGUCCUUUAAUCAUUCCAUUUGUUUGCUACUGUCGAAUGACUGACUGAUGAUUUCAGCUGCAAGCUUUGGCCCCAAAUCCAAUCUUCCUCUUGGAGACGUCAUACACCACGUUGUACGUUCUCUGCUGCACGUUGGCAAUGAUGGCCGGGUCGUCGGCGUUGUCGUUUCCAGCGAAGGCCAGGCAAGCCUGCGACACGCUCGCCACGUAAAGAAUCCCGGUGAAGUCGACGCUAAGCGUAGCCCCGCCGCUGAACACGAGCGCCACAGUCGGCACCGACACCGUCGUGUACCCCGUGAAGUCGUAGCACGUGUCCAGUAUCGACAACGCCGGCGCGGGCGGGUACUGUGUCAUCUUCUGCUUGAACGCCGACCGCAGGACGGCGUAUGCCGACGGUGGCAGCCGCGUGAUCACCGUGCCGGAGUCCAUCAGCGUCCUAGCGGUCGAGAACACCAUCCUCGAGAUGGGCAGCUGUUUGCCGCCCACCUUGAUGGCUAUCAACCUCACGAAGUAGAACGAUGGCAUUUCCGGCACCGUCAGCAUGGGCGUGUACUUGGUGCUCGACCGCGAGCCACGGCCGAUGGUUAGAUAGCCGGUCGAGCUCGACGUCGAGGGCAGGCAGUAGGAGAACACCGCGCCGUACUUCCGCGACGCCUGCGACACCAACGACACGCUUCCACGGCCGAGGCCGAGGAGCCCGGCGGCCCUGCCGAACAGCCCGCUGUUGGUGUCGCCGCAGCCGAACUUGAAGCCGGGCAGCACGUCGGACGGCGACAACGAGAGAGUGUCGCGGCCAAAGGUGCCCUGCGUCUGCGACUUGUCGCCGUACUGGACGUCGUAGCGGCAGGUGGACGCGUUGGAGCAGCUGUGCGAGUCGAGCCGGCCGCAGUCGGCGGAGUUGCAGGCCAGAGUGGCGUACGUGGAGGACUGGGCCGGGUCGAACACCGGCUCCUGCUGCGCGUAGCAGUCGUUGCAUGGCUUGCACUGGAUCCACGUCACAUCGCUGCCGGUGUCGAAGACGACGGAGAAGUCCAUGAGGGGGGUGCCGAAGCCGACCGUGACCACGUAGUUGCCGGUGCCGAGGGAGCCGCCGGUGCGGGCGGGGAUCCUUGCCGCCGACGAGCUGCGCAGCUUGUCGACCUGAGCAGCAGCAGAGGCCCGGACAUGGAGCGAGUCGACUCGGGCUUGGUCGGCGUCGAGAAGUCGGGCAUGGGGCAGCUUCCGACCUUCGUCAAACGGCGAGCACGGACCGUGCCGAUGGACUACCUUCAACUUGGACGGAUCAGAAGCUGCGGAAUUGGAAAUUACGGAAAGAUUCAUUUAGCAUCAGGGGAUUGGAAUCAUUCAUAAACAAUGGUUGAUAUUAGAAUGAAGGAUAUACUAAGUUCAUGGUGGAAACAAUCUGUUGGUGGACUGGGAGAUGAAUUUUCCUGGCUUGUUCUCUGUGACUCAACUUUGAAUCAUUAUCAAUCCAAACUACAAUGAUUUGAGCUCGAUCGAAACUAUUAUAUGAUGGAUAAGACACUGCUGCUGUCCUUGGUUGGUCACCAAUCGCUCUCCUCUGUUGACCUACCUCUUUAAACAAGCAUCGUGUGCAGGAAGACAUCCUAAACCUGCACAGGCCAUCUUGACUUCUGCAUAGCUUUUCGGUGGUAUACACGUUGUUUUCUGCAUGUACACUAUGCUAUAUACAUACAUACAUAUAUAUAUGUAUAACACUCGAAAUUCUAUAUAUAUGGAAAGAAAAUUGUCUCAACCUUCUGGGGAAGAGCACGAAGACUUGGGUAGCAAAUCAUGGAUGCUGAACACAUGCAUAUUUGGAGGUUUUCCAUACGCUGACGAACGAGAAAGAGCAAGGAAGAGGAGGAGGAGGAGGUGGUGGAGGCAACGGCGGCAGGAAGAGCAAGCAAGAGAAGCCAUUACGCUCGCAGAACUCGGUGAUCUAAGCUUGGAACGAGUGAAGGGAGUAGCUCUAAAUAGCUGUGCCUCUGCGCGUUCAAGUUUCAACGGGUGGUACAUCGCUUUCUCCAACUUGUCUUCCUCCUGUGGCCAUUCGA